rnacentral:rRNA from 1 species
GACGGGGGAUGCAAGUGUUAUCCGGAAUUAUUGGGCGUAAAGCGUCUGUAGGUGGUUUAAUCAGUCUAUUGUUAAAGCUUGAAACUUAACUUCAGAGAUGCAGUAGAAACUAUUAAACUGGAGUAUAGUUGAGGUAGAAGGAAUUUCCAGUGGAGUGGUGAAAUGCGUAGAUAUUGGAAAGAACACCAAUUGCGAAGGCAUUCUAUUAAACUAUUCUGACACUCAGAGACGAAAGCUAGGGUAGCAAAUGGGAUUAGAUACCCCAGUAGUCCUAGCCGUAAACGAUGGAUACUAUAUAUUAGACGUUCGCCGUGGUAUUAAAGCUAACGCGUUAAGUAUCCCGCCUGGGGAGUAUGCUCGCAAGAGUG